rnacentral:lncRNA from 1 species
GAAAAAAACAUCGGGAAAAAAGCUUAAGCUUAGCUCCGUAUUACUUGAAUCCCCUGUAAUGGAACAUGGAAGACAGAUUGUAAAACUGAUCAGCAAAAAUCAGAGAUUACGAGCAAGAAGAUCUGAAAACAGACUUCCAGUUAGAGUCGGUGCAUCUUUGAUGUAAAAUACUGAGUUAAUGAGCACAUAAUAUGAUAUAUAUAUAUCAUAUAAGAUGUCAAGAUUUAUUAAAAAAACAAACUUUUAUGUAUAUAAUAUAAUAUAAAUAUUUUUUUUAAAAAAUAUUUUGGUUAUUCGGUUUUUUCGGUUAAUUCGGUAAAAAAACCGAAAAAACCGAAAUACCGAAAUAGCCAGAAAACCAUAACCGAAUUA